rnacentral:tRNA from 1 species
GCCCGGGUGGCUUGGUCAGUUAAGCGUCUGACUUCGGCUCAGGUCAUGAUCUCACAGUCCGUGAGUUCGAGCCCCACGUCGGGCU